UACAGAGGUCCCAAGCGUUGUUCGGAUUCAUUGGGCGUAAAGGGUGCGUAGGUGGCGAUGUAAGUCGGGUGUGAAAUUUCGGAGCUUAACUCCGAAACUGCAUUCGAUACUGCGGUGCUCGAGGACUGGAGAGGAGACUGGAAUUCAUGGUGUAGCAGUGAAAUGCGUAGAGAUCAUGAGGAAGACCAGUGGCGAAGGCGGGUCUCUGGACAGUUCCUGACACUGAGGCACGAAGGCCAGGGGAGCAAACGGG
rnacentral:rRNA from 1 species